GUGUAAUUCCCACAGCCUUCGUCACCUCAAGCUGUCAGCUGAGAAAGUGGAGGAUCUGUGCUCUGCUCUCAGCACACUGCAGGCUCUGUCAAAGGUAGACUUCACUCUGAACUGCCUGACACAAGGAUGUGCUGCCAGCUUUAUCAAUCUCAUCUUGAACUGCAGCAGUCUACACUCUCUCAGUCUAUCAGUGGAGGAAAGGGAUAAAAGAUCAUUGUCUGCAGUCCUGACAGGCCACAGAAGGAUGUGAGAUUGAAGAUGACUGGCCUAACAGACGCCCAUGCUGAGGAUCUGUGCUCUGCUCACAGCCUACAACAGUUUCUAACAGAUCUUAGACUGAGUGACCGUGAACUCAUAAAUGUAUCAGUACCUGGCUUGAGACAUUUCAUUCAGAAUUACAACAACCUGCAACAUUUUAGACUGCGCCACUUCAGGCUAUCAGAAGAGGAAGUGGAGGAUCUGUGCUCUACUCUGUGCACAAUGCAGACCCUCAGGUCUGUGAAGGUCACGGUGGACCGCCUCACAGAACGAUGUGCUGCCAGCCUGAACCUCCUCCAAAAGUGCGACAAUGUAUCGUCUCUUCAAGUAACAUGUAAUACGCAGUUAGACUCCGGAAUGAGAGUGCUAAAGGAAGGUGAAAGGAAUCCAGGCAUCCUUAAGGUAACUAAGCAGCAGGUAAUUCCAGAGGUGCUAUGGGCUUUGAUGGUGCCUGUCAUAGCAAAUAUGGUCUAUGGACCACGUCAUCCCCUGUGUCACCCAGAGGACUACAUUAAUAAAGACAGCUGAUUCAUCUAUUCAGAACAUGUGUAUUCACUACUGAUGUCAUUUGUGUGAAAAGGCAAUCAUAAUGGCACCAAAUUAUGCAAAUGUGUUCAUGGAAAAGUUGGAGUUUGAUCAUAUAUAUAACAACAAUCCCUUUCAAGAAUCUGUUAAAUAGUGGGCCCUGUUUUAAUUAUUUCAUUUAAAUUGUAAUAGUUAUUUAUAAUUUAUAUAACUGUUGAUGAAUUGGAAUUAGUUACUGAUA